rnacentral:misc_RNA from 1 species
AGCGCGCUCAUUUCACUCGCAUCACUCGUCCUCGAUGGGUGACGCUGUUUGACAGCUCCGUCGCUUUUGGCUGGCAAAGGAAGGAAAAUUACCUUCCCACAAAUUCCGCGCGGAAAAACAGUGCAAAAGUGAACAAAUUUGGAACAAAAAUAUCGCCAAAGUGAGCAGAAAAGUGCGCUGAGCCGAUUGUGACAUUUUUCGCGCCUCCCAGCCCAGCCCAACCAUGGCGGCUCAGCAGUUUUCGCUGCGUUGGAACAACUACACCAACUACAUUACCGGGGCGUUCGACUCACUGCGCUACGAGGAAGACCUGGUGGACGUGACGCUAUGCUGCGAGGGUCGCAAGAUUCGCGCCCACAAGAUUCUGCUGUCGGCUUGCAGCGCUUACUUCAAGGAGAUAUUCAAGGAGAACCCGUGCCAACAUCCGGUGAUAAUAUUUAAAAAUGUUAAAUAUUCCGACCUGAUGUCGAUCGUGGAGUUUAUGUACCAGGGCGAGGUCAGCGUCGUCCAGGAAUCGCUGCCGUCGUUCCUGCACACGGCGGAACUGCUAUCGAUCCGUGGGUUAACGGAUAACAGUGGCGACACGCGCCAGCAGCAGCCCCAGCAGGCAACGUCCUCGUUGGCCCAGCAAAUCAUCCAAACGCAGAACCAGAGUCUGCUGGACAAGGCCACAAUCACGACGGCGGAGUCGGUUUAUCUCACGCUGCCAUCGAACUCGACGAUCGUGCACCAGCCGGCCAAGCUGCUGCAGGCCCAGAUCGCGACGGCACCGCAAAUUCUGAACAAGACCAUCAUCAAAACGGCCCCCACUGAAAUGCCCACCCUGACGACCGCCUCCGGAGCCACCAUUACGGUGCCAAUCUCACAGCCCCAGCAACAGCAGCAGACCAUCGCCAAGAUCCAGGUUCAAGCCCCACAACAGACUGCCACCAUCCAGCAGCAGCAACAGCAGACCCAAGUGGUUCAGACCCAGCAACACGUCCAACAACAGCAGCAGCAGCAGCAGCAACAACAACAGCAGACCCAGCAAGCCACAACCCUGCAGGAAGUGGUCGAAAGUGUCGUCUCGCAACCGAAGAAGAAAAAGAUCAAGGUCCAGCAAAUCAUCCACACCUCGACGCCGAACCAGAGCGUGGUGGGCACGAGUGGCGCCGGAACUACGACCACCGUCGUAACCACCCAGGUUGCCCAGUCCGGACAGACGAGCGCAGCCGACACGGAAAUCUUCGAAACUCCCACGGAAACGUACCACAUCAGCACCUCGAAGGCCGACGAAGAGCAGCGGGCGGCACAGGAAGCGCAGGAACAAGUGGAAUCGUACGCAGAAGCGGCCCAGGCAACGGGCGGCUCGAUGAAGAUGGAAAUCCCGGAGUACAUCGACUGCAGCGAGGCAAUGACCACGUCGAACGCCAACAACACCACCUACAUUCAAGAGGAAAGCUACGAGCUGGUCGCGGAAAACAUGGACGACAAGGACGUGGACGAGGAGGACAUGAACCAGGACGGCAUCGAGAUGGAAUCGUCGGACAUGGAUAUGAAUCGCAUUUUCCAAGGAGCAUCGGACGAAGCGAAGGCCAGUUUGUUACAAGACGCUGAGCUCCGUUUCCGCUGCAGUAUCUGCUGGAAGGGCUUCAAGCAUCCGAUGUCGCUAACGCUGCACAAGGAUCUGCACUCGGGCAAGACCAAGUGUCCGGUCUGUCUGCGGUCGUUCUCGCGCUCCUACGACAUGCGCAUCCACCUGAGCAAGAUCCACAAAAUUACGCUCAAGCUGGACGCGAAGCUCAACAUUAAGAACAUCAGCGGGCUAAAAGCCCAAAACGCGUGGAAAACACUAAACAAAACGGAGAGGGAGAGAGAACAAUAGCGCAAACAACGUAACACAGACGAUUCUCCGGCAAAAUGAUGGAGAAUUCAAGAAAAGUGCGCUUCCUAGAAGCAAAAGAAGAUAAAAAAAACAAAUUCGUAGGCUAGGUGAAAUGUUCAACAUUUUCAACUAUUGUUUUAAGAGACGACCUUUGUAGGCUGGCAAUACAAAGAAGAAGAAGAAGAAGCAGAAGUGGGGCGAUCAGACUGAUGAACACCGACAAGCGCAACACUGUUUAGACAACUACUAUUUAUUGUUAGGUGCCGAAAAGUUGAAUAUUAUGUUGAAAUAUAGGUUAUUUUUUGUGAAAGAAAAUA